rnacentral:sRNA from 1 species
AGCACCAAGGAUUUGGUUAUCGUCAGGAAGACGAUUUGAUUUAUCAGGAUGAUCAAUCAAGCAAGGAGCCUAGGACAUUGUAAGGACACAAUCAUCAAUAGGACGUUGAUGACGAAGGAUAGACAAUGGACCCCUCACAGGAAUGAGGUAAGGACAGCAUCAGGAAGAUGCCAAGGACACCGCUAGGACGGCGACGUAAGGAUUAAGCUGAUGGAAUCAGCCACUAUUAUGGAUGAUGCAUGGAGCAAUUUUUAGUAGCCGGACUGCUGCGAGUAAGACCAUGACCCCGAUACCUUUGUGUCGGGGUCUUUCUUAUUU